rnacentral:rRNA from 1 species
GACGUAGGGCGCGAGCGUUGUCCGGAUUUAUUGGGCGUAAAGAGCUCGUAGGCGGCUUGUUGCGUCGUCCGUGAAAACCUGUGGCCCAACUACAGGCUUGCGGUCGAUACGGGCGGGCUGGAGUUCGGUAGGGGAGACUGGAAUUCCUGGUGUAGCGGUGAAAUGCGCAGAUAUCAGGAGGAACACCGGUGGCGAAGGCGGGUCUCUGGACGACUCCUGACACUGAGGCACGAAAGCUGGGGGAGCAAACAGG